rnacentral:rRNA from 1 species
UACGUAGGCAGCGAGCGUUGUUCGGAGUUACUGGGCGUAAAGCGUGCGCAGGCGGUUUUGUAAGCCAGAUGUGAAAUCCCCGGGCUUAACCUGGGAAUGGCAUUUGGGACUGCAAGGCUGGAGUGCGGCAGAGGAGACUGGAAUUCCUGGUGUAGCGGUGAAAUGCGCAGAUAUCAGGAGGAACACCGGUGGCGAAGGCGGGUCUCUGGGCCGAUACUGACGCUGAGGAGCGAAAGCGUGGGGAGCGAACAGG